rnacentral:misc_RNA from 1 species
UUUCCGUAGGUGAACCUGCGGAAGGAUCAUUACUGAGUGAGGGCCCCUCGGGGUCCAACCUCCCACUCGUGUUUAACGAACCUUGUUGCUUCGGCGGGCCCGCCUCACGGCCGCCGGGGGGCAUCUGCCCCCGGGCCCGCGCCCGCCGAAGCUACCUGUGAACGCUGUCUGAAGUAUGCAGUCUGAGACAAUUAUUAAAUUAAUUAAAACUUUCAACAACGGAUCUCUUGGUUCCG